rnacentral:rRNA from 1 species
UACGGAGGGUGCAAGCGUUGUCCGGAUUUAUUGGGUUUAAAGGGUGCGCAGGCGGGCCAGACAGUCAGUGGUGAAAUCUUGCGGCUCAACCGUAAAAUUGCCAUUGAUACUUCUGGUCUUGAGUGCAGUUGAGGUGGUUGGAAUGCGUAGUGUAGCGGUGAAAUGCAUAGAUAUUACGCAGAACGCCAAUUGCGAAGGCAGAUCACUAAACUGUAACUGACGCUGAGUCACGAAAGCGUGGGGAGCGAACAGG